GUUGGCUGCUACCUUUUCCCCCUGAUAUUUGAGGUUGUUGUGAGAAUAGCAAUCUGCCACGAUUGCAGCUUUUGGCGCACUUACAGAGCCUUACCAUUUUAAUUAGUUCCUGGAAGUAUUUCCAUGUUAGUAGUAACCACAGUGACCAGAUUUAACAGACAUCAUGGGUGAGAGAUGAGAGACAUGUAAACAGUGAGAACACUCAGUUCCAUUAACUUUGUGUUGCUUCCAGCUUCAUGCUUCAUGUUGAUUCAUGAUUCAUCUGUAUAGAAACGAAGAGAGUAAACUAUGGAAAACAG